AAGACUCUGUGAAUGGAUCUAAAAUGUGUCCAGAUGGGACUGAGGCACAAAGUGUCUGGAACCAAACUGAUGAUCCAGUCAUUUAUCAUAGCUCUGACUCCAGGGCUGCAGCACACCUGAGGUGUGCAGGCCUGGUUGGUCCUCUCCCAGAGGAACUGGCAGGACUCUUUCCCUGGCUGUCUGAAUUACGAGAAUUCGCUGCUGUACUGGUUCCUCGUGCCCUCUCCUAAAUCCAGCAAAAUAACUGUGAAGAUCUGCAUGGGCUUCCUGUCUUUUAUGCUUCCGUUGCUGUUGUUGCUGAUUGUUGUUAAUGAAGAUAAACACAGAAGCAGACACUGAAAAAAAGUCUCCGCCGUCAAACAGCCAUCAUCACAGCUACUUCUGGUCAAGCUCUGUCAUGGCAAAUUUUGAAUAUGAUGACCAUAUUCCAUAAUGACUCAAGGCAAGCUUUCUUUUUAAAGGAAAAAUAAAAUAAAAUUAAAACAGUGGCUGUGGCAAACAGAGUCAUAGAUGCAUGGGUCUCAGUCGUUUUGUGACGGUCACAAAUGAGAGAAAUCUGACUUUGCUUCUUACCCUCUCAAAAAUAUAAUAAUAAUGGAACUAUUUUCAUCAGUGUAGUUUGACUGAAAAUAUUUGAUUAGCAAUUACAACAUAUAAUCUACAACAUACUGCUACAACAUUAGAGCAGUGCUUUAUUUUGAGCAAGCACCCAGGCUCAGAAAGGGACAACCAAGAAAUAAAAAAGCCAUGAAAGGUGAGCAUAAAGCUUCUUCUAUGUGCUUCUAUGGGCUUUCUAAGUGUCAAUCAUGCAAGAGGCUAAAACGGCUCCACCAAAGGGUUCAGUUCAGAAGCCUUUGUUUUUUUGCAAAGUGAAGUACUGUCACUGAGUACUCAUAAAAAAACACAGCUAUUGCUGCUCUGGUGGUAUCACCUUGAGUAACAGUGAAAAUGUCUCGCAGUUCAAAGUAUCUUAGAUCUAAAAAAGUUGUGUGAAAAAGAUGGUCCUUACUUCCACCGAAGCACAAAAUUCUGAGCACUGCAAUGUACAUGUAACUACAGUAAAUUAAAUAAAUGAGCCACACACAUUAUUACAUUAUUACCCCAAUAUGUUUAUUAAAGUAAUGCUUUUUGGAAGGGAUUGUGUGGACCAGGAAUUAGUAUGACAACCAUUCUCUGGAUGUUACCUCACGUUUAACAUGCUGGAGAACAAGCGCUACUAUGUACAGUAACGUUAGAGCCUUUUACUGAUUGCAUAAAGAAAACAGCUCAUUAGAACAGCACUAAUAGUCAGUCUUGUCUGACAAC